rnacentral:rRNA from 1 species
GUAACGCGUGGGUAACCUGCCUUAUACAGGGGGAGUAACAGUCAGAAAUGGCUGCUAAUACCGCAUAAGCGCACAGAGCUGCAUGGCUCAGUGUGAAAAACUCCGGUGGUAUAAGAUGGACCCGCGUCUGAUUAGCUUGUUGGUGAGGUAACGGCCCACCAAGGCGACGAUCCAUAGCCGGCCUGAGAGGGUGAACGGCCACAUUGGGACUGAGACACGGCCCAGACUCCUACGGGAGGCAGCAUG